rnacentral:rRNA from 1 species
GACGAACGCUGGCGGCGUGCUUAACACAUGCAAGUCGAACGGAAAGGCCCUGCUUUUGUGGGGUGCUCGAGUGGCGAACGGGUGAGUAACACGUGAGUAACCUGCCCUUGACUUUGGGAUAACUUCAGGAAACUGGGGCUAAUACCGGAUAGGAGCUCCUGCUGCAUGGUGGGGGUUGGAAAGUUUCGGCGGUUGGGGAUGGACUCGCGGCUUAUCAGCUUGUUGGUGGGGUAGUGGCUUACCAAGGCUUUGACGGGUAGCCGGCCUGAGAGGGUGACCGGCCACAUUGGGACUGAGAUACGGCCCAGACUACUACGGGAGGCAGCGGUGGGGAAGAUUGCACAAUGGGCGGAAGCCUGAUGCAGCAACGCCGCGUGCGGGAUGACGGCCUUCGGGUUGUAAACCGCUUUCGCCUGUGACGAAGCGUGAGUGACGGUAAUGGGUGAAGAAGCACCGGCUAACUACGUG